GCGGGGUGAUGAUGUAAGGCUAAUGAGCAGUGAAAUCCAUGAAUUUCAGCUCAUUUAUGCUGCAAAGGCCAAACUGUGUAUGAGCCAAUCUCCAUCCAUUCUGGUGACCUGUCUCCAGCUGUGCCCAGAGCUCUGCCAAAGGUCCCACAACACCCAAAAUGUUGAUGUGACCAACACUGGUCAUGGAAAGCCAGUGUGAAACCAGAACACAGCACCACCAGAAAUAAGUUUGAAUCCUGGAGCACAGAGGUCUUAUUUUGCCAAAGAAGAAAAUGUCUACUUUUUCCAAAGUGCUAUUUAUUGUGAUUUAUGAGAGGAAAAUGUUGAUUUAAAUGGAGUUUAUUAAAAAUGUUUUUUGCCUGGGAGUUGCAGAGGUGUUACAGUGGAACCUGAGAGGUUUGACAGGGGAUACCUGUGCCCUUCUCUGACCUGGCUGUGACAGAGGGAAGGGGAGGAUUCCUGCAGGGAUGGACCAGCAGCUGACAAUUGUCUGGAGAGCUGCUCCUGCUCCGUGGGCUCCCUGUGCUCCUCCAGCCACCUCCUGGCUCUGGUGCCAACCACCGAGGGCUCCCCAGUUCUGCAUCUGCUCUUCCCUCAGAGGGAGAGAUUUUGGCUUCACCCCAUCCCUCUUCUGGAAAGAGACAAAAUGUCAUGAAAUCUCCAAGGAGGAGGAGGAGGGAGAGGAUGAGCAGAAGAGGAUAAAAAAACUGGCACUGCACUUAAGGAAAAGAGAGAAAGCCACAUCUUUGGUGAGAGCAGCAACACGUUCUUACAGUUUUUAGCAUUAAACCUGUCAGAAAAGGAUGGGUGCUAAAGCAAAAUUGGAAUGUUGCACUCCCAGCUGACUCCAGGCACAAAGCCCUGAAGAGCAGGCACCACUGAAAGGGUUUGUUGUGCUCCUGGAUCCAAACCCUGUGUCCAGCAGCCCUGGCUCUCCUGGAAGGACAGCCCAGGGCUGUGCAGACAUUUCUCCUUUGUUGCAGGGCCUGUCCUACUUAGAGGCUUCUGCAAAAUGAGAUUGCAAGGACGGGAGUCUGCGCUGAGCUCUCGCUGCUCCAGGUGGCUCCUGCAGUGGGAAUUGCAGCCUCCAGCCCUUUCCAAAGAACAAUUGUGUCCCAGAUGGGCUGAAAUAAAAUGAAAUAAGAGAUCUCA
rnacentral:lncRNA from 1 species